ACCCCCUUCGUAGUGAACCUGCGGAGGGAUCAUUACCGAGUUUACAACUCCCAAACCCAAUGUGAACGUUACCAAACUGUUGCCUCGGCGGGAUCUCUGCCCCGGGUGCGUCGCAGCCCCGGACCAAGGCGCCCGCCGGAGGACCAACCAAAACUCUUAUUGUAUACCCCCUCGCGGGUUUUUUACUAUCUGAGCCAUCUCGGCGCCCCUCGUGGGCGUUUCGAAAAUGAAUCAAAACUUUCAACAACGGAUCUCUUGGUUCUGGCAUCGAUGAAGAACGCAGCGAAAUGCGAUAAGUAAUGUGAAUUGCAGAAUUCAGUGAAUCAUCGAAUCUUUGAACGCACAUUGCGCCCGCCAGUAUUCUGGCGGGCAUGCCUGUCCGAGCGUCAUUUCAACCCUCGAACCCCUCCGGGGGGUCGGCGUUGGGGAUCGGCCCUUUACGGGGCCGGCCCCGAAAUACAGUGGCGGUCUCGCCGCAGCCUCUCCUGCGCAGUAGUUUGCACACUCGCAUCGGGAGCGCGGCGCGUCCACAGCCGUUAAACACCCCAAACUUCUGAAAUGUGACCUCGAUCAGUAGAAACCCGCUGAUA
rnacentral:rRNA from 1 species